GGAGAGAGCGAGAGGUGGAGUGAAGGAUAGAGGGAGAGGAGAGAGCGAGAGGUGGAGUGAAGGAUAGAGGGAGAGGAGAGAGCGAGAGGUGGAGUGAAGGAUAGAGGGAGAGGAGAGAGCGAGAGGUGGAGUGAAGGAUAGAGGGAGAGGAGAGAGCGAGAGGUGGAGUGAAGGAUAGAGGGAGAGGAGAGAGCGAGAGGUGGAGUGAAGGAUAGAGGGAGAGGAGAGAGCGAGAGGUGGAGUGAAGGAUAGAGGGAGAGGAGAGAGCGAGAGGUGGAGUGAAGGAUAGAGGGAGAGGAGAGAGCGAGAGGUGGAGUGAAGGAUAGAGGGAGAGGAGAGAGCGAGAGGUGGAGUGAAGGAUAGAGGGAGAGGGCAGAGUGAGAGAAACUUCAUAAAAGAAGAGUAUCAAAAGUGCCUUCAGUCAUAUUCUAUAUGGCAGUAAUAAAACCCAGGUCAACGUCACAGAUUUCCAUCAUGAGCGUCGCUCCUGUUUUUAUUCAGCCCAUCAUUCAUCAGAUUCUCAUUUCUUUCACCUCGUCUCUCUCCAAAUAACUUAAAAAGCCACAUGUCCACAAAAUGACUAGUGGCAUUCAGCCAGUGUAAGGGGACAGAAUACCGAUGAGAACAGAUCAAUAAAAAAAAACUAGCCUUUAUAUACAAAUUACUUCUGUCUGACUGUGUGUGGGUCAAUAAUAAGCAUGGCUGAAUGCCACACAGCUCAACCUCAAAAACAGACGUAGAGGCAUCAAGCAGACUGUUUUAAACAGGCCAUUUAGUUAAAACGUGUUGUGUGAGGAA